GGGGAAUCUUCCGCAAUGGACGAAAGUCUGACGGAGCAACGCCGCGUGAGUGAUGAAGGAUUUCGGUCUGUAAAGCUCUGUUGUUUAUGACGAACGUGCAGUGUGUGAACAAUGCAUUGCAAUGACGGUAGUAAACGAGGAAGCCACGGCUAACUACGUGCCAGCAGCCGCGGUAAUACGUAGGUGGCGAGCGUUGUCCGGAAUUAUUGGGCGUAAAGAGCAUGUAGGCGGCUUAAUAAGUCGAGCGUGAAAAUGCGGGGCUCAACCCCGUAUGGCGCUGGAAACUGUUAGGCUUGAGUGCAGGAGAGGAAAGGGGAAUUCCCAGUGUAGCGGUGAAAUGCGUAGAUAUUGGGAGGAACACCAGUGGCGAAGGCGCCUUUGUGGACUGUGUCUGACGCUGAGAUGCGAAAGCCAGGGUAGCGAACG
rnacentral:rRNA from 1 species